rfam:Schistosoma curassoni strain Dakar, Senegal genome assembly, scaffold: SCTD_contig0013700
AUCCAGCUGAGGAGUGCUGAAAUAGGACGAAACACGCGUCCUAUAU